rnacentral:pre_miRNA from 1 species
UUCCUCGACCCUUCUAAAUAUUUUUCCUUGGCGGCUAGUUUGUCUAGCCGCCAAGGAAAAAUAUUUAGAAGGGUCGAGGA